UACGUAGGGGGCGAGCGUUGUCCGGAAUCAUUGGGCGUAAAGCGCGUGUAGGCGGCCCGGUAAGUCUGCUGUGAAAGUCCAGGGCUCAACCCUGGGAUGCCGGUGGAUACUGUCGAGCUCGAGUCCGGAAGAGGCGAGUGGAAUUCCUGGUGUAGCGGUGAAAUGCGCAGAUAUCAGGAGGAACACCAAUGGCGAAGGCAGCUCGCUGGGACGUGACUGACGCUGAGACGCGAAAGCUAGGGGAGCGAACAGG
rnacentral:rRNA from 1 species